GAAAUACUCCCUCCGUUCCGAAUUACUUGUCGCAGACAUGGAUGUAUCUAGAUGUAUUUUAGUUUUAGAUACAUCCAUUUCUGUGACGAGUAAUUUGAAACGGAGGGAGUAUAUC
rnacentral:pre_miRNA from 1 species